AUGGGAGGAAGGGGUGGCGACCCCCAAACAGGGCCGCUGCUGGAGAAGCUCCCGGAGUCCUCUCGCAGUUCAUCCGAGGAGCAUCCGGUCAAAAGAACCGGCACGGUAUGGACGGCGUCCGCGCACAUCAUCACGGCGGUGGUCGGCUCCGGCGUGCUGUCGCUGGCGUGGAGCGUGGCCCAACUCGGCUGGGUCAGCGGGCCGACGGCCAUCGUGUUCUUCGCGGGGGUCACCGUGGUGCAGUCCUCCCUGCUCGCCGAAUGCUACAUUUCUCGAGGAGAUCCGGAGCGUGGCAGCGGCGUCAGGAACAAGUCUUACAUGGACGCCGUGAAGUUUUACCUAGGUGAGAAGAGACAGAUGUUGAGCGGAUUUUUCCUUAGCAUCAGCCUGUUUGGGAGUGGCGUGGUGUACACUCUCACCACAGCCACUAGUAUGAGGGCGAUUCAUGAAGCGAAUCGCUACGGCCGGGAAGGCCGAGGCGCACCGUUCUCCACCGCCGCCGCCGGGGGCUCAGACGUCUACUACAUGCUCCUGUUCGGCCUCGCGCAGGCAGUGCUGUCGCAGAUACCGGACUUCCACAACAUGGCUUGGCUCUCCGUCUUCGCCGCAGUCAUGUCCUUCUUCUACUCCUUCGUCGGCUUCGGCCUCGGCGCCGCCAAGGUGAUCGAGAAUGGGGUGAUCAUGGGGGGAAUCGGAGGCAUUCCCCUGGUAUCCCCGAUGCAGAAGGUGUGGCGCGUCGCACAGUCCCUAGGCGACAUCGCCUUCGCCUACCCUUACACCUUGGUGCUGCUGGAAAUAGAGGACACGCUGAGGUCGCCGCCGGCGGAGAGCAAGACGAUGAAGAAGGCUUCGAGGGCCAGCAUCGCGAUCACCACCUUCUUCUACCUCGGCUGCGGGUGCUUCGGCUACGCGGCGUUCGGCGACGGCACGCCGGGGAACCUCCUCACCGGCUUCGGCGAGCCCUACUGGCUCAUCGACCUCGCCAACCUCUCCGUCGUCCUCCACCUCCUCGGCGGCUACCAGCUGUACAGCCAGCCGGCGUUCGCGCUCGUGGAACGACGCUUCGGAGCCGAGGCCUGGGCCGUCGAGGUGGAGCUGCCGCUGCUCCGCUGGCGGCGCAGCGUCAACGUGUUCAGGCUGUGCUUCCGUACGGCGUACGUUGUGGCCGUGACGGCGAUGGCCGUGUGGUACCCCUACUUCAACCAGGUGGUGGGGCUCAUCGGCGCCUUCACCUUCUGGCCGCUGGACAUCCACUUCCCCGUCGAGAUGUACCUUGCGCAGAACAAGGUGGCGCCGUGGACGACGCGGUGGCUCGCCAUUCAGGCCUUCCGCGCCACCUGCCUGCUCGUCGCCGCCUUCGCCUCGGUUGGCUCCGCCGUGGGGGUGUUCGGCCCCAACAAAGGCUAG
rnacentral:rRNA from 1 species